AAAACCACAAAACAAUGCAUGAAAACCAAAUAAAACCAUUUUCACCAAAACCAAACCAUGAACACCAAGAACAAAACCAUGAACACAUUUUCAAGAUUUGUACAUUCUUGGUGAUUUUUCAAACCCAAAAACAAAAGUGACAAGAACACUUUUUUCUAGCUUUAAAAGGAUGUGUGAGUGGUUUACAAUAAAACACAAACACAACCCAAAACCACCCCCAAAACCGUGCCCUCCCUUUUG
rnacentral:lncRNA from 1 species